AUUGAACGCUGGCGGCAUGCUUUACACAUGCAAGUCGAACGGCAGCGCGGGCUUCGGCCUGGCGGCGAGUGGCGAACGGGUGAGUAAUGCAUCGGAACGUGCCCAGUAGUGGGGGAUAGCCCGGCGAAAGCCGGAUUAAUACCGCAUACGACCUGAGGGUGAAAGCGGGGGACCGAAAGGCCUCGCGCUAUUGGAGCGGCCGAUGUCGGAUUAGCUAGUUGGUGGGGUAAAGGCUUACCAAGGCGACGAUCCGUAGCUGGUCUGAGAGGACGACCAGCCACACUGGGACUGAGACACGGCCCAGACUCCUACGGGAGGCAGCAGUGGGGAAUUUUGGACAAUGGGGGCAACCCUGAUCCAGCCAUGCCGCGUGCGGGAAGAAGGCCUUCGGAUUGUAAACCGCUUUUGUUCGGGAAGAAAUCCUCUGGGCUAAUACCCCGGGGGGAUGACGGUACCGGAAGAAUAAGCAUCGGCUAACUACGUG
rnacentral:rRNA from 1 species